rnacentral:rRNA from 1 species
AGUGAACGCUGGCGGCGUGCUUAACACAUGCAAGUCGAACGAGAACGGGUUAUAGCUUGCUAUAAUUGUCAGCUAAGUGGCGCACGGGUGAGUAAUGUAUAGGUAAUAUGCCUCUUACUAAGGGAUAACAAAUGGAAACGUUUGCUAAUACCUUAUACUCCUUAUUAACAGAAGUUAAUAAGGGAAAGAUUUAUUGGUAAGAGAUUAGCCUGUAUUGUAUCAGUUAGUUGGUGGGGUAAUGGCUUACCAAGACUAUGACACAUAACUGGUUUGAGAGGAUGAUCAGUCACACUGGAACUGAGACACGGUCCAGACUCCUACGGGAGGCAGCAGUGGGGAAUAUUGCACAAUGGACGGAAGUCUGAUGCAGCAACGCCGCGUGGAGGAUGACACAUUUCGGUGCGUAAACUCCUUUUAUAUGAGAAGAUAAUGACGGUAUUAUACGAAUAAGCACCGGCUAACUCCGUGCCAGCAGCCGCCGUAACAC